AAAUUUGCAUUUGAGCUCAGCAGUCGAGUGUGGUGCCAAAAAUACCAGAAGCGGUGUCCUAUAUACGGCCUUGACCAGAAGUGUUGCAUGCCCUGGAUGCAGAAAAACAAGAUUGAGAUGAGUGGAUCAAGAUGUAUCUUUCGUGCAGAUGUAUCAAGAUCCUUUCACUUAAGAUCCAUGCAGGCGCAAGCUUUGGAUGAACUUCUGCUUCUGCGGUCGGCAUUCUUACAGGAGAACCCAAGAUUCAUUGUACCUACCUGUAUGCAUUUCAAAACUGAAUAAUUGAUAGCAACAAGUAAAUAUUUGAAGUUGCAGCCAAAUGCUGUGCCUUCUCUGCUGCAAGAGCUACAUGUCACCAUUGAAGCAAGGACCAGCUCGACUCCUGCAGUAGGAGUCCAGCCUCGUCCAGUCGUCGCCGCUCGCCAAGACCAGCCGGACUCCUGCAAUAGGGGUCCAGGCUGACCCGUUCGUCCAGUAACCGCCGCUCGUCAGCACCAGCUGGGCUCCUGUAGUAGGGGUCCAGCCUCGUCCAGUCGCCGCCGCUCGCCAAGACCAGCUGGGCUCCUGUAGUAUGGGGCUAGGAUGGCCCGUUCAUCAACCGGUCCUGAAGUCACAUCGCCGUCAGCCAGCCGAACUCAGUACAUAAGUCACCAACCCUGAAUGUUGCCAGCCAAAGUCGGCAGUUUCCUUCGGACAGUCAUCUCACCAGUGUUGUACAGUGUACGAGGUUAGUGACGCAGUUAAAUGCGUCAAUUAAAUGCGAGGACGUGCGCUUGUAUGCAGCGUUUUGUCAUGUUGAGCUGCAUGGGUGUCGAUUUUCACCGAAUUGAGGGUGCCCACUGCCCGGGCGCAGCAAAUCCGCCGCUGCCUUAGCGGUGACCUUGACCCGCACCGUCUGUUGGGGCUCCAAAGCCAAGCCAGCCGAGCCGGCGGGGAAUCUAAAGAGCUUGAGCACCCCCAACCCGGCGGAAAUUGACACCUAUGUUGAGCUGUAUGGAUGCGUUUUAGCCUUCCGCCGUGGUGGUAAAUAGCAGCCUACAUGCAGAAUUAGGCAGGCUUAUUAGCGGACUCAUUAUUGGAUUCAUUGUGUCACGUUUGUCGGCACGUGUAAGAUGUGCUUAACUGCCAUUAGCUCUCGGCCUGGCGACUUCUGGGGACCACGUAAUGGGGAU
rnacentral:lncRNA from 1 species